ACCCCUGGCCCCGCCGCCUGGGUUCGCUGUCCUGUAGGAACCAGGCAGGUGGACCGCUGCGGGAGCACCCUUCUCCUAGACCCUCCCGGGGACCCUCCCCCGGGCCCUGUCGCGCCUCCGCGCCCCGCCCCGCGCCGGCAGUGGGCGACCGAGUUACCUGCGCCGGGAAGUCACAGUCCACAGCCCGGACUCUUAACGGGGAGGGUCCCGCGGAGCCCAAAGCCACAUUCCAAGGGGAGGGGUCCCUACCUCUUUAGAGGGUCGCGGAUCACAUUACCGGCCGAGAGGAAGAGACGGCGAGAGGCAGAGUAAACAGGGGGUAAAAGUUGCAUUUAGCUUAUUGUUUUUUUUUUUUUUUUUUUUUCCGGUUUUCCCCCAAUCGCGCUUCGACGGCUGGUUGACCCGGGGAUCCGGUGUCCGCCCAGUUCCCGCAGCCCGUGGCCCCGGCACGGCUUGCCUGCACGGAGGCCCCUUCCUGCCGCGCGGGUGCGGGAGCGGUGAGCGGGGCUGCGGGCGGCCCUGGCGACCCCCGCGAGGCUGUCCCAGGGGCGGGAAGCGCGGCGGCCGGAGCCCGCGCGGCGCUCGGAGCACCGGGACCGGGACGCUCACAUGCGUGCGCAUAAAUCAGUCAGCGAGCAGUCGCCGCCGCCAGCGCCAGGGAAUCCUCGGGCUGAUUGAAUGCAGACGUGGGGUGUCUGCCAGGGCAGGAGGGCGGCGGGGCAAAGGGAACCGGCGUGGAGGCCACGGUGGGGGAAGGGAGGCCAGGACCAGGAGACAAGAGAAAAGCCCAAAGCCACAUUUUUAACCAGGGGCUGAUUUUGAAAUGCA
rnacentral:lncRNA from 1 species